rnacentral:rRNA from 1 species
UGCUUAACCAUGCAAGUCGAACGAUGACGACCGUGCUUGCACGGUCUGAUUAGUGGCGAACGGGUGAGUAACACGUGAGUAACCUGCCCCUCACUUCGGGAUAACCUCGGGAAAUCGUGGCUAAUACCGGAUACGAGCACUCAUCGCAUGGUGGGUGUUGGAAAGAUUUAUCGGUGGGGGAUGGACUCGCGGCCUAUCAGUUUGUUGGUGAGGUGAUGGCUCACCAAGACGAUGACGGGUAGCCGGCCUGAGAGGGCGACCGGCCACACUGGGACUGAGACACGGCCCAGACUCCUACGGGAGGCAGCAGUGGGGAAUAUUGCACAAUGGGCGAAAGCCUGAUGCAGCGACGCCGCGUGGGGGAUGACGGCCUUCGGGUUGUAAACCCCUUUCAGUAGGGAAGAAGCGAGAGUGACGGUACCUGCAGAAGAAGCGCCGGCUAACUACGUGCCAGCAGCCGCGGUAAUACGUAGGGCGCAAGCGUUGUCCGGAAUUAUUGGGCGUAAAGAGCUUGUAGGUGGCUUGUCGCGUCUGCCGUGAAAACCCGAGGCUCAACCUCGGGCGUGCGGUGGGUACGGGCAGGCUAGAGUGUGGUAGGGGAGACUGGAACUCCUGGUGUAGCGGUGAAAUGCGCAGAUAUCAGGAAGAACACCGAUGGCGAAGGCAGGUCUCUGGGCCAUUACUGACACUGAGAAGCGAAAGCAUGGGUAGCGAACAGGAUUAGAUACCCUGGUAGUCCAUGCCGUAAACGUUGGGCACUAGGUGUGGGGGACAUUCCACGUUUUCCGCGCCGUAGCUA